AGUUCAAACCAAUGCCCCAAGAUAUUGCCUGUAUCAGCUCAAUCUACUGCUGAAAUUAAAUUCUUCAGCAACUCACAAGAGCAAAAUUACUACGGCAGUAACAAGACAGACAAAGCAUGGAUAAAAGAGGAAAAAUAAAGCAGCUGUGAGUAUACACAAUCAACAAACCAAAUUGGCCUUAACACCCCUUUAAACCAAGGCCAAACAAAGUCAAACUCGUCAAAGAUGAACCAAACUUUUUCAUGGAACCCAAGUUAAAUCAGCUCAUCAUUUGAACAAGCGAGGCCUACAUUAGAUGAUGCUUCAUAACAAACACAAGUCGCUAGACGUUGCCAUUUGUGACAUGUCCUGAUAAGUGCAACUGAUCAAAACAAAAAUUAGCAGUGAACAAAACUAUUUAAUCGAUACCUAGAUAAAAAACAAAAUGAAUAUAAAGAACAUAGCUCACAUUCUGAAAUUAAUCACGAGCUAAUCAUACAUGACAGAAAACAAACAGAAGACACUUUUUUAAAGAUUUCAUUUAAGCUGUACACAGCCAAACCACUCCAAAAUAAGCGUAAAAAUUGGCAAACAAACAUAUUACGACCAACAUUCACCAAAAUUCAAAUAGUUCUAAACCAGCUGAACUGGGAUUCUCAAUACACCUCUUAAUCAAACAACAAAAUAGGCUACAUCGAUUACGAAUGAACCUGAAUUGACAAGCACUUGGGAUUAACUUUGCUCAAAUGUUAAAUACAAGUGAAAUCCCAUAGAAAAUAUCGGCAACUAACAACAAAGAUGAGUAGGAAUCAGAAGCUCGGACAGUGACGAACUUAACUAUUUUUAAUUGAACUUCUAUUAAACGAACUCCAUCACAAGCGAGAUUAACCCAGAGAUGAUAUACAAAUAAAUCAAAUUUUGUAUUUUUCCUCUGAUUCUAAAAAAACAAAAUUAAACACCAAAAGAGACUCGACUCAUUUUUUGGGAGUAUUUUCUGUAUUUUUUCUGUCAGAAGAAAACAAGGAAGAUCCUCGACCUCUUUUUUUGAAAUCUUUUCUUCUUUAGCCCCCCCUAAAAAUACAGACAAAAAUCCCUUUUUGAGAAUGAAUUCCUGAUGAAUGUGGGGCUUGGAUUGAGUUAAAUCAAUCCAACGCCUCACGCUCAUCCAAAAAGUCAUUCACAGAAGCUUCUAAUCGUGUGCCUUAUCUCCAAAUCGAGUGAGUGAAGGUAAUGAGAAAAUUCGCGUCAGAAACGGUUAGAGAUGGUGAUGAGGAGAGAAGGAGGAAGGCGUGCGGAGGGAUUUGAGACUCACUCGCUCAAAAUUUUUACAAGUUUGACCGCAGAUUUGCAGUGAAGAAGAGAGUGAAC
rnacentral:lncRNA from 1 species